GCUCCUAUAGCUUAACGGUCAAAGCGAUGUACUGUUAAUACAUAGAGUUCUAGUUCAAGUCUAGAUAGGAGCG